CAAUUAUAAAUGUAAAAUUAGACCAAAUAUCAGAAGAUGUUAAUUUUUUAUUAAGCAAAAGCAAUAAUGAAAAUAACACUGAGGGAAGGGAAGUUACUGUUAUGAGUAAAUUUAAAUUACCAAUAAAUUCCACAGAGGAUUUACAUGAAAUGGAGGAAUUUUUAUCAGUGGAAGAUAAUGCCCGUCAAUUUGUUUAUGAAUUGUCAAAAAUUGGAGGAUGCAAUGUAAAGACUAUGACGAAAUGGGUAAUGGUAAAAUUGUUAACAAAUUCAAUGGCUAUGAAAUACAGCUGGAUUGGAUUUAAGUAAAAAAAUUAUUUUUCAAUUCUGAAAAUUUCAUCAGCGAUAAUGGAUGCUGUUUAGAAAAUUCAUACAAAAACUACUUGUGCAGAAGUAGAACAAGCCAUAAAAAUGUGGUUAGUAAAAGCCAAGGAGAGGGAGAGGAAAGAAAACAACCAAUGAAGGAAUAAUGUUACUGUCUAA